GAAUGAAAUGCCUAUUGAAAAUGAUUUAGCUCUCCUUUGAAGUAUAUAUCUUGAAAAACAAAUGCCAACUUGUACCUGAAAAUCCGGACAGAAGACAGAAAAAAAUGUUUUUAGGUGGUCAUAUUUUUUCAAAAUCGACAGCUGCUACAUUCAAGCAUUAUUCUGCCUAAAACUGUGACCAAAACGUACCUAGAUAAUAUAUCUACUUCCUGCGAGCAAUCAAUUUUUAAAUAAAUUUGAUGAAAGUGCCUUUUAUAGUCGAUAAUUUCAGAUAAUUUUUAUUUUCUUUUUUUUUCAUGCAGACAUCAUCAUUUCACAACUAAUUUGAGAUAAACAUGCGUAUCUAUGACAAAAAUCCAUAAUAUCAUUACAAGGGCAAUACACAUAAAAGUCAGAUGUGUCAAUUUUAUUUUUAGACACGGUUGCAGUCACAAAGUAAUUGACAGAAUAAAAUGUAAAUUUCAGCAUAUUUUUUCACACAAAAAUGCGUUAGUGCGUAGAAAUGUGAUCAGGCUGAGCACAUGGCCUUAUGGAUUUCAUGGUUUUCGGCGCUUAACGUGAAAACAGUUAAAGCACAGGAUUCACAAACAUUAAAUUUAUGCUUAAAUCUAUAUGCGAUACAUUAUGCAUAUAAUUAUAAUUCACGAUAAUAUCGCAUAUGGAAGUAACUGGAAUAAAUUUGAACUAUUUCCUUCGGAAGUUUACGUGACUGUCCUGUCAAAAGGCCUCCCUCAUGUUUACAUAUUUUGACAGGUCGAGUUGUUCUGGGACUAGGAACAAUGGUAAGUGCAAAGUUAUAUAGAUUUAUAUAAAUUAAUUAUUUUUGCAACGAGUUCGAAGUAAGGUUGAUUAUCAGUCGACUCUAUUUCAAGAUCUGAGAAUGAUUUGCCUAUUUUUGGGCGGAGAACAUAGCAUAUGCAUGCUUGUAUCACUGCCACCAUAGAUUAUCAUUAGAUCCAUUGGUAGAUCAACAACAAAUCAUUCUCAGAUCUUGAAAUACAGUCGAUGCAGAAUUAACGCAUUGUUUCAUAGAUAGUGAAUCGAUCAGAAUAGACAGAAUUGAUCAUUGUCAUAGAAAAAAAAAACGUUGAUGUACUUUUUGCAUUCGAAUUGACAUAAUUUGAACAUAGACUCUGCAUUUAUGCCAUAAAAUAUGUCUGAUCGGACGUGCUGAAUCAUCCGGCAAAAACAAUCAAUAUUUUUAAAGUAACAUUAAUUAGAAUCAAGGUCUACUGUGCAUUUAAUCCGUCAUGUGUUUGUUUCAGAUGAAAGAAUACCUGCACCAUGGAAACAAUGUCAUUUGCAAACUUUCUGAACCUGUGCUGGGCAUUCACAUUGACAUUUCUUGUUCAACAGGAAUACAUAAUGUCGACCAACAGUACAACUAGAUGAAGAUAUAAAUUUAUUCAAAGAAAUAAUGGGACAAUGAAUGCUAAAAUUGCCAAGAAGAAGACUGCCAAUUUACACACCAUUUUAUACAGUUACAGUAUGAUAUGGUGAACAAAAUGCCUCAAUGCAGCCAGUUCUGGAGCUUUGGCUAGGCUAUGAACAGUAGACAUCAAAAGAUGAUUAUCUGAAGGGCCACAAUUGUUUAAAGCACUGGUCAACAAAAACUGAACUAUUUGAUUGAUCAUACAUGUGCAGAAUGUACAACCAUAUUUCCAGAAUCAGAGAAAGUAUUAGAGAGAAAGAAAAGUAUGCAUCAUAUGCAUCAUAUAUGAAGAACUGCCUAAGAAUAAUUUGCAAAAUACAUUGAAAUCUAACAAUUGCUAAUUGCAUAAGAAAGUUAAGAAAGGUGUACUCUUCUGGAAAAUAUGUGUCCAGUGCAACAUUUCUUUUCCAAUUUUGUGAGCAUAAUUUUGAAUAAAAAUUGCAACAUGGCUACAGGGAUAAUACAAAAGGUUUAAUCUUAUUUCCAAACACAUUGGGGGAAUCAGAGAAGAAAUAUCAAGAAUUAGGGAAAAAGAAAUAAUUGUCAUGAAUGAAGAACUUGCUUUUUAAUAAUUUAAAAAAUACUUUUUAUCCUCACAACUGUUAAUGAUAUUAUGAAUAUGGAAGUUAAAAGUGUGGACUUUGAUUAAUCUUCAACUUCUCUGAGCAUAGUUCUACAUAAAAAUUUCAACUUUAUAAAAUAGUCUUGUAGAAAAAGUGUAAAACUUUCAUACUUGUUUUAUAGAAAAUGUUUCUGGAUGUUUCAAUGUAAAUUUGCUAGACCCAGACCACUAGCUCCUAAGUCAAGGUUACACUUAGAUGUCAAAGGUUAAAAGGGUCUGUUUCUGUCUGGUCAAUAACUGCCAUACAUUAAGGGAUUUUGGAAUUACUCGGCAUAAAUGUUCACCAUAAAGAGACAACGUGUUAUGCGCAAGACCCAAACCCUUGCUCCAAGGUCAAGGUCACGCUUAGAGGUCAAAGGUUAAUAGUCUUUUUGGUGUCUGGUCAAUAACUCUGCGAUCCAUGAAGGGACUUUUAGAUAACUUGGCAUAAAUGUUCACCAUAAUGAAACCAGGUGUCAUGCCCAAGACCAAGACCCCUAGCUCGAAGGUCACACUUGGAGGCCAAAGGUCAGAUACAAAAAUGACUUUGUCCGUAGCAUUUCUUGUUCAUGCAUGGAGGGAUUUUGAUGUACAAUGGCAAAAAUGUUCAUCAUCAUGAGAUGGUGUGUCAUGAGUAAGAACCAGGCCCCUAAUCCUUUGCUGUUACUAUUAAUAGCUAUUACUGUAAUGUUCUA